UACGGAGGGUGCAAGCGUUAUCCGGAUUUACUGGGUUUAAAGGGUGCGCAGGCGGAUAUGUAAGUCAGUGGUGAAAUCUCUAGGCUUAACCUGGAAAUUGCCGUUGAUACUAUAUGUCUUGAAUGCUGUGGAGGUAAGCGGAAUAUGUCAUGUAGCGGUGAAAUGCUUAGAUAUGACAUAGAACACCUAUUGCGAAGGCAGCUUACUACGCAGAUAUUGACGCUCAUGCACAAAGCGUGGGGGAUCAAACAGG
rnacentral:rRNA from 1 species